AACGCGAUGGCCGAGUGGUAAAAGCGUUAGAAUUAAGUUCCAAUGGACGCAAGUCCUCUUGGGUUCGAACCCCACUCGCGCUA
rnacentral:tRNA from 1 species